rnacentral:rRNA from 1 species
AUUGAACGCUGGCGGCAUGCCUUACACAUGCAAGUCGAACGGUAACAGGUCUUCGGCCGCUGACGAGUGGCGAACGGGUGAGUAAUACAUCGGAACGUGCCCGAUCGUGGGGGAUAACGAGGCGAAAGCUUUGCUAAUACCGCAUACGAUCUACGGAUGAAAGCGGGGGAUCUUCGGACCUCGCGCGGACGGAGCGGCCGAUGGCAGAUUAGGUAGUUGGUGGGAUAAAAGCUUACCAAGCCGACGAUCUGUAGCUGGUCUGAGAGGAUGAUCAGCCACACUGGGACUGAGACACGGCCCAGACUCCUACGGGAGGCAGCAGUGGGGAAUCUUGGACAAUGGGCGAAAGCCUGAUCCAGCCAUGCCGCGUGCAGGAUGAGGGCCUUCGGGUUGUAAACUGCUUUUGUACGGAACGAAAAGCCUCUUUCUAAUAAAGAGGGGUCAUGACGGUACCGUAAGAAUAAGCACCGGCUAACUACGUG